AGCCGCGGUGACGAACGGUACCGGCUGACGUUGCGUUCGCCCGGUUCCUUCGGGGCGGACUCCGCCCCUAGCGCGCGGAGCCGGCGGCGUCUGCCAUUGGCCGGCGGGGAGGGCGCGCGGAGGGGGAGGGCGCGCGCCGCAGAGGAAGUAAACAAGCGCCAGCGCGCGAGCGGCCGCUGCGGGGGCGGGCGGCGUGAGGGGCUGCGGAGUGCUGCGUGAUUCCCCCACAGGGCGCCAUGUCCGGCCCCGGGCUCUGCCUCACUCGCGCUCACGGACCCCGCACAUCUUCUCAGCCUCCAGACCCCCCUCAAAGCCCUCUCAGAUGCUCUCAUAGCCCCCACAACCCCUCAGAGCUCUCACAGGCUGUUUCAUAGCCCCUCAUAGCCCUCACAGAUUUCUUGCAUAGCCCCUCAAAGCCCUCACAGACUCUCAAAGCCCUCACAGACUCUCUCAUAGCCCCUCAAAGCCCUCACAGAUUCUCUCACAGCCCUCUCAGCACCCUCAGACCCUUCACAGCCCCCUCAGCCCCCGCUCCUGCGCUGGCAGAGGCAGCGCGGAGUUGGUGACAUGCAGCGCGUUGUUUAUUUUCCAUCCGCUGCUGUGUCACCCUUGUCUCGGGUUCGGGAUUGCCCUCUGCCCGUCGCAGUGGGGUGACAAUCCACAUUACUCUUGUGACCGCUGUGCAAUCCUUUGCCUGUGUGAUCCGGGCAGGCCACUAACAUAAUUUCUAGGGUUUAGGUCAAAAUACGAAGAGUGAAGAGCAAAUUCAUUCUGUUUCACAGAAAUGAAAAAGAAAUCCAGAUUCUCCUCCACACGUCUCUUGAUCUUCACCAGACUUGAAGAACCUGUAGUUCUUAGAGCUGGAGAAAUCCUGUGUUCCUACUCAGCUGAGAAGCACAUCCUCUGCUCUUCCAUUACAGUUCUUUGUCUAGAAAACAUCUUUUCAGUCUUUGUCAGAGUAAAUGCCCUGUUUUUGGGUCCAUGAGACAUCUGGCCCUGCUGCUGUGUCUGGGGCUGAAAAGCACUCGCUGGGCAGGAAUUUGGCUUGGAAUGCUGGGAUCCAGAAAGCUGCUGGCUCUGGAAAUUACCCCAUUUAUGAACUAGUGUUGCACUUCUCUUUAGAUUAGAAGCCAAAAAAAAAAUUAUAAUGGCUACAAGGUCUGCAAAGUAGUUUGCCUGCUUGUGGGAAUAAGAUUUAAAUGUCAUGAAUGAAGUUAAUGUUAUUAUCUAUCAUUAAUCUGAAGACUGAAAAAACAGAACUGUGUUUCAUAAUAUCUUUGGGGAAUAGUCUGACAAAUAGAUCUUCAAUUAGGGAUCAUUUCCUGACAGCUUUGGUGUUUUCUGGAAAGAUUGUGUAAUGUUGAUAAUGAGUUGUUGGAUUAUAUUCACACUUAAAUCACUUAAACUAUCUUUGCCUCUCAUGUGGAAAAAGAAACAAGGUAUUUUUAGAGGGUUAUGAUGUGUUUCCAAAUUUUGGGGGUGAAGGAACUUGCUAUAGAGUAGAAGAAAUGUUACUUUAGGUGGUAUUUUUCAUAGAAAGUCUUACUCUAUUUCAUGGGAGAACUGACAGAGUAUUAGUUUUCAAAUUAAUAUCAGAUAAUAUUAUGCAACAACAUCAUGUCAUGAUAUUUGUAAAAUAAUUGCUAGCUGGAGUAAUGAGUAAGUACCGAAAAGUAAGACAACUGCGUAAAUCUGCUCAUAUUUGCAUGGGCAAGCUAAAAUAUGUGUUUAAUUGCAAUAAUUCUCAAAGUUCUUGUAAACAACUAUUACAUUUCUUAGGCAAACAUGCUUGAUAUUUUUAAAUCUAAUUAUAAACAGAAAUAUUUUUGCUACUCACAGAGGUAUUUAAGUUCUCUGUGUCUGCAGUCCUCCACUAGAGCUGCUGGAAGUGAAUUGCUGCAUGGCACAAGCACUGCUGUUUUGGGAGUGGGUGCAGCCUGAACUGGGAGGCCAGGAUAGUGUCCUGUGCUUCUGCAUGCUUAUUUUCUAUCUGCAAGCAUUGCAAAAAGGGAGGGAACGUUGUGCUUUCAUUGCAAAGAAGUUACUUAUAGUAUGGGUAACUUCCUUGUGAGACUCAUCCUUAGCUAGAUGGUAAAUCUAGAGCAGCUUUGUGGAAAGUAAGAUCACUUGACAGAGACAGGAAAUACUUUGAAAUUUAUAUUUAUGUUACAUUAAAAGUUUUAUGUUUUGAAACUGGAUGUUUCUGUCAGUUUGUCACCUGCCUUAUCUCUGAACUUUGGUGCAUUCACACAAAUAUGAUAGUGUGUGCUUUUUGUAGGAUCACAUUUGUGAAAUGAUUUCUUGAUUAAUGUGACAGGAAAUAUUUCUGAAAGUUUGACAAGCUCCAACUGGUUAGGAUCUCAAAGCACUGAAAGCUGGUGAUGUCUAAACCUGCUUAGCGGAAAGUCAGAUAUAAAUGUAUUCAAAUCUGAAGGUGAUAAAGACUAACUUUUUGAUUACAAUACCAUAGGAAAACCUACCCUGUUAAAUCUCAGAUAAGAACUGUAUUUUUCACAAGCAUCUUCUAAAACUUUUUACAUCCAUGGGUGUUUGCUUAUAUGAAGUCUGACUUUGUUUGUCUAAAGACUGAAGCAAAAAUUAGUGCAUUCAUUAUUUCCAUAGCUGUUAGUACAUUUUUGGGCUUGAUGUUGAAUCUAUAAAUAAUGCUAAAAUAAUUGCUUAUGGUCCAUCUGUACAAAUUGCAAUUUUUGUGCAUAUGUAACAUUUGAUGCAUGAAAAUAUUAAGAUGAAAUUGCAUUUAGAUGUUAGAUACUUAGAAUUGUAAAGAGGAAUGAUAGAGGUUUUGGUAAGGGGCUUUCUUUUGUCUGUGAUCCCAUGAAUUUAGGGUUCAAUUUGAAGGGGAUAAAGGGUGUUAGAGCCUGCCUGUGCAAGCAGAAGCAAGUAACAGUGCCAAGGAUUUAUACAUUUCUCUAAAUGUUAAAGCAUUGAACAGAGCUUUUCUUCUGGUUUGCCAGAAAAGGCAAGAUUUGACCCUUUGGCAGUAUCUUUAAUGAGAGAGACUCCCCUUCUGAGCAUUGCCUGACCGAAAGGUGCUGACACCGUUGAGUCAACACAACUGUCCUGGCUUGUUUUUUAAAUAUUUGUAGGGAGUUCACAGGUGAUAAGCUGACAACCAAGAUAGAGACUCUAGAAAUGUAUUGUUCGUGAACUUGUGUCUCACAUGCAAGAACAAGGUUUUGUAGGAGUAACAGUGGGCACUGAGUUCAUGAGUCAACAGGCUGGGCAGGAGUGCAGCCUGCUGCAGGCGGGACAGCAGCGGCACUCCAGAAGUCAACUGCUUGCUGUGGCUGUGUAAAAUAGUUCAGAAUUUGCACGAGUAACUGAAUCCAGAAGUAAAAUUUCUUUAUAACUAAAACAUAAAAAAA